AGUUUGAUCAUGGCUCAAGAACGAACGCUGGCGGCAUGCCUAACACAUGCAAGUCGAACGAGACCUUCGGGUCUAGUGGCGCACGGGUGCGUAACACGUGGGAAUUUGCCUCGGGGUAUGGAAUAACUCAGGGAAACUUGAGCUAAUACCAUAUAAUGUCUUCGGACCAAAGAUUUAUCGCCUAAGGAUGAGCCCGCGUAAGAUUAGCUUGUUGGUGAGGUAAAAGCUCACCAAGGCGACGAUCUUUAGCUGGUCUGAGAGGAUGAUCAGCCACACUGGGACUGAGACACGGCCCAGACUCCUACGGGAGGCAGCAGUGGGGAAUAUUGGACAAUGGGCGAAAGCCUGAUCCAGCAAUGCCGCGUGAGUGAUGAAGGCCUUAGGGUUGUAAAGCUCUUUUACCAGGGAUGAUAAUGACAGUACCUGGAGAAUAAGCUCCGGCUAACUCCGUG
rnacentral:rRNA from 1 species